UCUUAGUUAUGGUAAGUGUGAUUGUCUUGAUGAGUAGACCAUGAAACAAAAAAAAAUGUUAAUGGAAAUAAGUGCUUUAUGCCUACACUGUAAAAAUAAAUCUGUAAAAUGACACAAAAAGUACUGGCAGGAUUUAUCAAGUAGUUUUACAGACAUUUCUGUCAACUCUAAAACAUGAUGCAGUGCAGUGUAAAAUUCAAAAUGCAGGUAAAAAAAAAAUAAAACUGGAAAGUUCCUUCAGUACACACAUAAUAUGUUCUGGCCUGUGUUAUUAUUGGUCGCUGUUGUUAUUAAUGUACUGCAGACAUCACAGUCACUUUUACAGGUCCUUCUCAAAAAAUUAGCAUUGUGAUAAAGUUAAUUAUUUUCCAUAAUGUAAUGAUAAAAAUUAAACAUUCAUAUAUUUUAGAUUCAUUGCACACCAACUAAAAUAUUUAAGGUCUUCUAUUGUUUUAAUACUGAAGAUUUAUACAGCUCAUGAAAACCCAAAAUUCCUAUCUCAAAAAAAUAGCAUAUUUCAUCCGACCAAUAAAAGAAAAGUGUUUUUAAUACAAAAAAAGUCAACCUUCAAAUAAUUAUGUUCAGUUAUGCACUCAAUACUUGGUCGGGAAUCCUUUUGAAGAAAUGACUGCUUCAAUGCGGCGUGGCAUGGAGGCAAUCAGCCUGUGGCACUGCUGAGGUGUUAUGGAGGCCCAGGAUGCUUCGAUAGCGGCCUUAAGCUCAUCCAGAGUGUUGGGUCUUGCGUCUCUCAACUUUCUCUUCACAAUAUCCCACAGAUUCUCUAUGGGGUUCAGGUCAGGAGAGUUGGCAGGCCAGUUGAGCACAGUAAUACCAUGGUCAGUAAACCAUUUACCAGUGGUUUGGGCACUGUGAGCAGGUGCCAGGUCGUGCUGAAAAACAAAAUCUUCAUCUCCAUAAAGCUUUUCAGCAGAUGGAAGCAUGAAGUGCUCCAAAAUCUCCUGAUAACUAGCUGCAUUGACCCUGCCCUUGAUAAAACACAGUGGACCAGCACCAGCAGCUGACAUGGCACCCCAGACCAUCACUGACUGUGGGUACUUGACACUGGACUUCAGGCAUUUUGGCAUUUCCUUCUCCCCAGUCUUCCUCCAGACUCUGGCACCUUGGUUUCCGAAUGACAUGCAAAAUUUGCUUUCAUCUGAAAAAAGGACUUUGGACCACUGAGCAACAGUCCAGUGCUGCUUCUCUGUAGCCCAUUUCCUGCACACACCUGUGCACGGUGGCUCUGGAUGUUUCUACUCCAGACUCAUUCCACUGCUUCCGCAGGUCCCCCAAGGUCUGGAAUCGGUCCUUCUCCACAAUCUUCCUCUGGUCACCUCUUCUCAUUGUGCAGCGUUUUUUGCCACACUUUUCCCUUCCCACAGACUUCCCACUGAGGUGCCUUGAUACAGCACUCUGGGAACAGCAUUUUCGUUCAGAAAUUUCUUUCUGUGUCUUACCCUCUCGCUUGAGGGUGUCAAUGAUGGCCUUCUGGACAGCAGUCAGGUCGGCAGUCUUACCCAUGAUUGGGGUUUUGAGUAAUGAACCAGGCUGGGAGUUUUUAAAAGCCUCAGGAAUCUUUUGCAGGUGUUUAGAGUUAAUUAGUUGAUUCAGAUGAUUAGGUUAAUAGCUCGUUUAGAGAACCUUUUCAUGAUAUGCUAUUUUUUUUUAGAUAUUUUGGGUUUUCAUGAGCUGUAUGCCAAAAUCUUCAGUAUUAAAACAAUAAAAGACCUGAAAUAUUUCAGUUUGUGUGCAAUGAAUCUAAAAUAUAUGAAAGUAGUGACCUGAACACCUGAAAGAUCUGAAAAUAUUUACAUUUUUUGCCUCCCAACCUUUUCAGAAAGUUCCUCUGAGCACAGCAAAUAGAGAUGAAGUGAAUUGUACGUUUUUAUCCACUUUUAACUAUAAUAUUUGGUAUGUCUACAUUUUGCAGCGAUUACAGCAGCACAUCUUUCUGUCAUAAUUAUUUGACAUGAUCACCCAAUAGGGUAAUAAAUUCAGCCUAAACAGAAAAAUAAACAUGGAUCUUGAUACACAAAUAUCUCUGUUAGAUAAAGACAGUAUUAAAACCCAACUUUCGAUUUUGCAUUUUAUUUCCACUUUGGGGAUUUCCUUUUUGAUUUAUUUAAUUCCACUCUUCACAAAUGUUAUUCUUCAUAUAUUUACUCAUUGCCACAUGUGUUGUAUUUUUAUUUUCCAUCCAUACUUUUAUAUCUACUGUCACGAUCCCUGUCUGUGUUUCAUGUGUCUAUGUUCAAGGACUUUUAGUUUGUAGUUCUGUGUCACUAUUGUUGUCUUGUUCCUCUCCUGUUUCCCUGUUGCUCUGCUCCCUUGUUAGUUAUCAUGGACACUGAUUGAAUACACUCAUCUCCUUGUUAGUUGCUCUGGUAAAUGAGGUAAAUGAUCAUAUGGUAACUAUUUUUCAGUCAAACUCCAAACAUGUGGACUGUAGUUCUUCUGCUCCUUGAAGUUACUCUCAGCUGUGCUACAGCUCAUUUCUGUCUUUAACAAAGUGGAGAUGAGCAAAGGUGCUGGCCACGGUUUGGAGCUGUUCCUGAGUUUUGCAGAUGGCUAUGUAUUUUCCCCAUUAUUUUUCUGAUGCCUUAAGAUUAUUUGUGAGGAUAAAUCCAGAGAAUAAGACAUGAUGCACUGCAAAACAUCCUGAGACAGGAGAAAUGGUGAAGAUGAACUGUUCCAGCAUUGGAAGACUGUAUUUUUAAGUGUUAUACAUGCAGUGUUUUAAAUAAAGAAUUUGAUAUUUUGUAA